AAGCGUUUAUGACCAGACUUGUUACCUAUAGAUCAUCCAACGUUCUCGUUGGUGCACUCUAUGAGUUACAGGCCAGCAUCGGUUUUCUUUGGGGCAUAAAGGCUUUGGAAACGUAGCUCUUUCGGGAGUGUUAUAGUCCAUGGCAAAAUACCUUCAAGAGGACCGAGGACCGCGCAUUGCAAGGAUGCUGGCGUAAUGGUCAUCAGCGA
rnacentral:rRNA from 1 species